rnacentral:rRNA from 1 species
GAUGAACGCUGGCGGCGUGCCUAAUACAUGCAAGUCGAGCGAACGGACGAGAAGCUUGCUUCUCUGAUGUUAGCGGCGGACGGGUGAGUAACACGUGGAUAACCUACCUAUAAGACUGGGAUAACUUCGGGAAACCGGAGCUAAUACCGGAUAAUAUUUUGAACCGCAUGGUUCAAAAGUGAAAGACGGUCUUGCUGUCACUUAUAGAUGGAUCCGCGCUGCAUUAGCUAGUCGGUAAGGUAACGGCUUACCAAGGCAACGAUGCAUAGCCGACCUGAGAGGGUGAUCGGCCACCCUGGAACUGAGCCACGGUCCAGACUCCUACGGGAGGCAGCAGUAGGGAAUCUUCCGCAAUGGGCGAAAGCCUGACGGAGCAACGCCGCGUGAGUGAUGAAGGUCUUCGGAUCGUAAAACUCUGUUAUUAGGGAAGAACAUAUGUGUAAGUAACUGUGCACAUCUUGACGGUACCUAAUCAGAAAGCCACGGCUAACUACGUG